GUGCUCACUUUGGUAGCCCAUAUACUACAAAUUGUAACAAUACAGAGAUUAGCAUAACCCCUGCUUAAGGAUGACACCAUUCCAUAUUUUU
ensembl:snRNA U6 U6 spliceosomal RNA